GGCACGGUGGUGCAGUGGGUAGCACUGUCAUCUCAGAGCAAGAAGGUCCUGGGUUUGAAUUCAAACUGUGUGG
rnacentral:tRNA from 1 species